ACGUAGGGUGCGAGCGUUGUCCGGAAUUACUGGGCGUAAAGGGCGCGUAGGCGGAUUGGUCAGUCAGAGGUGAAAUCCCGCAGCUUAACUGCGGAGCUGCCUUUGAUACUGCCGAUCUUGAGUUCAGAAGAGAGAGAUGGAAUUCCAGGUGUAGUGGUGAAAUGCGUAGAUAUCUGGAAGAACACCAGUGGCGAAGGCGAUCUCCUGGUCUGAUACUGACGCUGAGGCGCGAAAGCGUGGGUAGCAAACAG
rnacentral:rRNA from 1 species